rnacentral:lncRNA from 1 species
UUUAAAUAUAUAACUUUUAAAUGUUAAAAUUUUAAAAUUAAAUUUAAAUUUUUAAAUUUCAAAUAUAAAAAUUCUAAAUUCUAAAUUUUAAAUUUAAAAUUAAUCAAAAUUUAAAUAUAUAAAAUAUCAAAUUUUAAAUAAAAAAUUUAAAAUAUCAAAUUAAAAUUUAAAAUUUAAAAUUAUAAAAUUUUAAUUUUAAGAUUAUAAAUUAUAAAUUUUUAAAGUUUAAAAUUUAAAUUUAAACUUUUAAAAAAAUUAAACAGAA